AAUCUGCUGGGGCGGGCCUGAUUACGUCACUUCCGGCGCGCCCACGGGUGCCCGCAGGGGGCUGGUCUCCAAGACAAAGCUUGGAAGUUCCCAGGAUUAAGGAGUAUGGCUAUGCACGCUCAUGCACACUAUGGCUUGAGUUUGGAUGUACAGAACAAAAUUGGCAGGAAUCAGUUCUCUUCGCCUGUGGGGACAGGGAAGCAAAGGUCUCCAGACUUGGCAGUAAGUGUCUUUAUGUGCUUAGCUUCUCCCUGGCAAAGAAAUCUUUAUUUCUUCAUCUGGGUUUCAUGAAGAACUGUUCUGUGAGAAGCCUUCACUGAACUACUGACUACUGACUUGUGCUGAAGGACCCUUCCAGAUCUCAUAUGCCCUGCUGCUGCUGUGCCUGUCUAGUUCUGCAUUAUCAGCUGGACCCCUCUCCAUGAGUAGCCUUGGUAAGCUGGCCAGUCUUCCUGAUGGAAGUGUGAACAACCUUAGGCUCUUUCCUCAGUGUUCAAGACUAUUAAGUCAGAACUUUCCCCAAAGGUUGAAAGAACAAGAUGCAAAUCCAUAAAUUUUGCGAAGGGCUAACCCCGAGGGUCAGAGAAGCCUAAGAAAGCAACAUUUGUUUCCUGUAACUGCACCUUAUAAACAGCAGAAGAAAUCGAUAAGCUGCAUGAGAUAGCCCAUGGCUCCCAGUGCUGACUCAUGUCAUUGGGUGUCUGUGCUAGGACUCCAUGAGAGCCGUGGACUAGCACCAUUCCCAGUGGGGCUGUCUGGGCUGUGGCUGCAGAUGCAGUUUGGCAGGGAGAGCCCCACCCCACCACCACCACCCAAAAAGGUUACUUGCUUCAGAGCUGAGAGGCUCUAAGAGAGAACAGGGACUCAGCAAGUGCAUGUGACAGCCAGGUCUGGAGUACUCUGCAAAGGAACAGCCCCUCCACGUCUCAGGUCACAGGAAUAGAUUCUAGGAGUCCUGUUUUCUCCUGAAACUAUCCUUUCAGACAUUUGCUUCUGCAGUUUCCUAACCAACACAGCAAGAUAUAUAGUCACACUCAAAUAGCAAAUAUUUAAACCAUUUAUUGCCAUUAAGUUACAGAUCUGAGUUACAUAUGGAAAACACCGAUACUUGUUAUCACUGGAAAUUAUGUGUAGACAUGUGACCAACUGAGGGUUUACUAUUGUCAUUAAAGAAAAAGUCAAGAAUUUUGAGU
ensembl:processed_transcript 4930506C21Rik RIKEN cDNA 4930506C21 gene